UCAGAGCCCGUUAAUGGGUGAUGGCGUGCCUUUUGUAGAAUGAACCGGCGAGUUACGAUUUGAUGCAAGGUUAAGCAGUAAAUGUGGAGCCGUAGCGAAAGCGAGUCUGAAUAGGGCGUUUAGUAUUUGGUCGUAGACCCGAAACCAGGUGAUCUACCCUUGGUCAGGUUGAAGUUCAGGUAACACUGAAUGGAGGACCGAACCGACUUACGUUGAAAAGUGAGCGGAUGAACUGAGGGUAGCGGAGAAAUUCCAAUCGAACCUGGAGAUAGCUGGUUCUCUCCGAAAUAGCUUUAGGGCUAGCCUCAAGUGAUGAUUAUUGGAGGUAGAGCACUGUUUGGACGAGGGGCCCCUCUCGGGUUACCGAAUUCAGACAAACUCCGAAUGCCAAUUAAUUUAACUUGGGAGUCAGAACAUGGGUGAUAAGGUCCGUGUUCGAAAGGGAAACAGCCCAGACCACCAGCUAAGGUCCCAAAAUAUAUGUUAAGUGGAAAAGGAUGUGGCGUUGCCCAGACAACUAGGAUGUUGGCUUAGAAGCAGCCAUCAUUUAAAGAGUGCGUAAUAGCUCACUAGUCGAGUGACACUGCGCCGAAAAUGUACCGGGGCUAAACAUAUUACCGAAGCUGUGGAUUGUCCUUUGGACAAUGGUAGGAGAGCGUUCUAAGGGCGUUGAAGCAUGAUCGUAAGGACAUGUGGAGCGCUUAGAAGUGAGAAUGCCGGUGUGAGUAGCGAAAGACGGGUGAGAAUCCCGUCCACCGAUUGACUAAGGUUUCCAGAGGAAGGCUCGUCCGCUCUGGGUUAGUCGGGUCCUAAGCUGAGGCCGACAGGCGUAGGCGAUGGAUAACAGGUUGAUAUUCCUGUACCACCUAUAAUCGUUUUAAUCGAUGGGGGGACGCAGUAGGAUAGGCGAAGCGUGCGAUUGGAUUGCACGUCUAAGCAGUAAGGCUGAGUAUUAGGCAAAUCCGGUACUCGUUAAGGCUGAGC
rnacentral:rRNA from 1 species